rnacentral:rRNA from 1 species
AUGGACGAGCUCUUUUGCGAGCCCUUCCCCAACACGACGUGGCUGCUGCCUCCGGGCUUCCCGCUCGUGAGCUAUCAGGGCUUUUACCUCUCCACGCCGGAGCGGUACGGGAAGAUGCGAGAGGACGGUGUGCUCAGAACCGGCGAGAUAAACAGGUCCGCCGCCGGAGACCUGCCGGCGUUCGCGUACAUCCAUCUCGACCACAACCAGACGGACGCCGACAAGCUCUUCUUCUGCGAUGAUGACCAGCGGCUCAUGUCCAGCAUCCAGUGGCUGGUGAUGAGGACGGACGGCUACAUCGCGCCAGGCCUGUUCCUCGUGAGGGCGUUCCAGUCAGAGCUCGACGCUCUGUUCCCGGAGCGCGACGCCGUGUUCCACCACCUCGGCCGGUACCUGUUCCAUCCGACCAACCGCGUUUGGGGCCUCAUCACGCGGUACUACGACGCGCACCUCGCGCGGGCACGGCGCGUGGUCGGCAUCCAGGUGCGCGUCUUCCCGUGGCAGGCCGACUCGCCGGAGCACGACGGGCCGCCGGCGGCCGCGCCCGGUGGCACGGCCAAACCCACCGCUGUCCUGAUCACCUCCCUCAAGGCCUGGUACUACGACAAGAUCAAGGGGGCGUACUGGGAGCGCGCGACGGCGAACGGCGAGGUGGUGGUGGUGGACCAGCCGAGCCACGAGGAGGCCCAGCGCUACCAUGUCAAGUCGCAUGAACGCAAGGCUUGGGCAGAGGUGUACCUGCUGAGCACGGCGGACACGCUGGUCACCACCGCCGAGUCGACGUUCGGGUACGUGGCGCAGGGGCUCGGCGGGAUGAGGCCGUGGGUGCUGAGGAUGGGGAUGAUCAACACCACCGUGAGCUGGCCGUGCAGCAGGGACGUGUCCAUGGAGCCGUGCUACCACGUCGCGCCGGUGUACGACUGCCGGCGACGGGAAGAUGCCGGCAAGAUCGUGCCGCAUGUGCGGCACUGCGAGGACUGGCCCACGGGGUUGAAGCUAGUUGAUCUAAAGGAUUAG